AAAAAGCCUGAGAAAGGUCCCUUGCCCCUUCUGCCAUGUGAGGUUACAGUAAGAUGAUGGCUGUGAGAUCAUGAAGAGGAACUGGCCCUCAUCAAACACCAAAUCUUCUAGUGCCUUAAUCUUGGACUUCCUAUCUCCAGAACUGUGAGAAAUGAAUUUCUUUUGUUUAAAAGACACCUAGUCAAAGGUGUUUUUAUCCUAGUAGCCUGUGCAGACUAAAGCAAAUAGUUUCUCCUUAUCUCUAUCAUAAAUUUCUUAUGUUUCUUUUCAGUGGCACCUGGCUCCAUGUCCUGUGUAUGUCUGACUCCUAGAGGCCAGAGGGGCACACAAUCUCGAAGAUAAGAAGCUUCUGGAAAAUGCAAGCCCAGUUGUUUUGGUGGAUCCUUCUGAAUGAUUAUGCACAGGAAGCAAGCUGCCGUGUUUGAGCAGCCCUUAUGGAGAAGUCUGCAAGGCAAGGAACUGAAACCUCUGGCCAACAUCAAACGAGGAACUGAUGCCUGCCAACAACAACAGG